UACAGCUUGAUGUCAAUGGGAGGAUAUCAUUAGCUCUUCACAAGUUGGGAUGGCCACUGCAUUUUCAGAACACCACAGAGAUGGUCAGGAGCAACAGGAGUCUGGCACAGGUUCUGGACAAGACCCAAAGUCCAAACACACAUCUAGCCUUUGUGAGCAAGAUGGCUCUCACGCGGUCAGAUUUU